GCUGGCGGCGUGCCUAACACAUGCAAGUCGAGCGAUUUACUUCGGUAAAGAGCGGCGGACGGGUGAGUAACGCGUGGGUAACCUGCCCUGUACACACGGAUAACAUACCGAAAGGUAUGCUAAUACGGGAUAACAUAAGAGAGUCGCAUGGCUUUCUUAUCAAAGCUUUUGCGGUACAGGAUGGACCCGCGUCUGAUUAGCUAGUUGGUAAGGUAACGGCUUACCAAGGCGACGAUCAGUAGCCGACCUGAGAGGGUGAUCGGCCACAUUGGAACUGAGACACGGUCCAAACUCCUACGGGAGGCACCAGUGGGGAAUAUUGCACAAUGGGCGAAAGCCUGAUGCAGCAACGCCGCGUGAGCGAUGAAGGCCUUCGGGUCGUAAAGCUCUGUCCUCAAGGAAGAUAAUGACGGUACUUGAGGAGGAAGCCCCGGCUAACUACGUGCCAGCAGCCGCGGUAAUACGUAGGGGGCUAGCGUUAUCCGGAAUUACUGGGCGUAAAGGGUGCGUAGGUGGUUUCUUAAGUCAGAAGUGAAAGGCUACGGCUCAACCGUAGUAAGCUUUUGAAACUGAGAAACUUGAGUGCAGGAGACGAGAGUAGAAUUCCUAGUGUAGCGGUGAAAUGCGUAGAUAUUAGGAGGAAUACCAGUUGCGAAGGCGGCUCUCUGGACUGUAACUG
rnacentral:rRNA from 1 species